UGCUUACCUGGCAGGGGAGAUAACAUGAUCACAAAGAU
rnacentral:snRNA from 1 species